rnacentral:pre_miRNA from 1 species
UUGGUGGGACAAGGUGGCCUAGCAGCGUGUUUUCUCCUAAGGCUUGCACCCUGUCAGACCAUACUUGUUCCAACA